rnacentral:tRNA from 1 species
CGGGGUAUAGCUCAGUGGUUAGAGCACCCGCAUACGUAUCGGAAGGUCGGGGGUUCGACUCCCUCUGCCUCCA